CGGGACUCCCAUGGCAUCUUCAUCCCGGCCUGAAUUGCACCUGCUCAGGCUGCCUCCCAUGUGCUCACGUCUGCAAGGUCUGGGCUGGGGACAUCUCAGCUGCUCUGGUGUAGGUCCACACGUAGAUGGGGCGUGAUACAGUUUUGAGGACCAGAUGACGUCCACCUGCCCUGAAACCAGGCAGCCUGUGCUCCUGCGAGCGCUUGGACAAAUGGUCCAAAGAGCCAAGAAGACAUGUCCAUUUGGACCCCUCACCUUCAUUCCCCCUCCUAAACCACGCUUCAGGCUCAAGACCCCAGGAUUCUGUGCUUUCUGCUAGAUCUGGGUGGCCCCGCAAGUCUUGGUGCCCUCUGGGGGCAAAUUUGGAGAAUGAAUUAAAUGCACUGGAGUUUUCCCGGCAAGGCGGGAUUUUGAAUGGGUUUCUCGGGGGUUGAAAAGGCUUCCCUGAUGGCGCAGUGGUUGAGAAUCUGCGUGCUAAUGCAGGGGACACGGGUUUGAGCCCUGGUCUGGGAAGAUCCCACAUGCCGCGGAGCAACUGGGCCCGUGAGCCACAACUACUGAGCCUG